GUACCACGUAGGGCGGUGGCGGGCCUGGGGGCGGGAACCUCCCUAAGCCACGCCCUCGACGUUUAUUUAAGAAUUUAGGGGCGUGGCCAAGCGAUCUUCGUGUGCAUCUGGAAAACUGGGUCUCAGCAGGGAAGUGACUUGGGUAACAGUCUCCUCUGAGAAUGUGAAGAAAGCCGUGAGCCUUUGUGAAGAUAAAAGUCAGAGAUACAAAAACUUCGGGGAAUUUCUGGGUCCCUGAUGUACAGCAGUGGACCCUAAGUGAAGAACUGAGAAUCUCAACGGCCUUUCCCAGCUUUGUAAUUCUAAUAUCUUCUUCAGCCUUGCUGUGUACCAUGUUUCAGAUACGUCGCCUACACAUUAGAUAUCUGAUCUAUUG